UACGAAGGGGGCGAGCGUUAUUCGGAAUCACUGGGCGUAAAGCGUGCGUAGGCCGUCUAGCAAGUUGGAAGUGAAAGCCCAGGGCUCAACCCUGGAAUUGCUUUCAAAACUGCAAGACUAGAGUCCGGGAGAGGAUAGCGGAAUUCCCAGUGUAGUAGUGAAAUACGUAGAUAUUGGGAGGAACACCAGUGGCGCAAGCGGCUAUCUGGACCGGUACUGACGCUGAGGCACGAAAGCGUGGGGAUCAAACAGG
rnacentral:rRNA from 1 species